UUGUCAUCCAUGCUUUCAGAGGGACU
rnacentral:piRNA from 1 species